GGCAGUGUGGCGUAGUGGCAAUGUGUAGGGCUCUUAACCGAAAGGUUGCUGAUUCAAUUCCUUGCUGGGGCGCUGCCG